UCUACGGGAGGCAGCAGUGGGGAAUAUUGCACAAUGGGGGAAACCCUGAUGCAGCGACGCCGCGUGAGUGAGGAAGUCUUUCGGUAUGUAAAGCUCUAUCAGCAGGGAAGAAAAGGACGGUACCUGACUAAGACGCCCCGGCUACCUCCGUCCCAGCAGCCGCGGUCAUACGUAGGGGGCAAGCGUUAUCCGGGUUUACUGGGUGUAAGGGGGCGUAGACGGAAUUGCAAGUCUGAUGUGAAAAUCCGGGGCCCAACCCCGGAACUGCAUUGGAACCUGUAUUUCUAGAGUGUCGGAGAGGCAAGUGGAAUUCCUGGUGUAGCGGUGAAAUGCGUAGAUAUCAGGAGGAACACCAGUGGCGAAGGCGGCUUGCUGGACGAUGACUGACGUUGAGGCUCGAAAGCGUGGGGAGCAAACAGGAUUAGAUACCCGGGUAGUC
rnacentral:rRNA from 1 species